rnacentral:lncRNA from 1 species
ACGGUGCAACGGCUGGCCUGGGCCUGCAACUCUGGGGUCCCGGCCGGGCUGGAGCGGCCGCCGGAGAGACCUGGUAGGCGGGGCGCUUGGGGCAGGAAGGGAGCCGGGGAGGGAAAAGCGCGACUGUGAUUCGUACGGCUGGGCCCGGACCGUGAAGGGGACCGGGUUGCGGCUGCCCUCACACCGACCAGGUGGGACCGUCGGACUGCGGCCGCCCUUGGCUCAACUGGGUCGCCGACCUUGUUGAGGGGCGACCACUGCGGGGAGACCGAGAGCCUGCGGCUGGCGUUUGAGGCGGAUGGCAGUGCCCUGAGCGCGGCGGCUGGGUCUCGGUGACACUGACGACGGGAGGCGCGGUCGGAAGAGCGCGGGGCCGUCGCCUCUGGCUUAACAUAGCAGAUGCGCUGAGACUCCAACAGGUGGCUCCGUGGCGCAAUGGAUAGCGCAUUGGACUUCUAGAGGCUGAAGGCAUUCAAAGGUUCCGGGUUCGAGUCCCGGCGGAGUCGUAACGCUUUUUUCCCUCCCCCCUACAAUUUAUUUUCUGCCUCCAUCAUGUCUCUUAUUUUUUUUUUUUGCUAAACGGUUUAACUUCUCUCUCAUUCCCUGCUCUCGCAGUUCACUGCAUUCGGUUCUUGCGGUCCUUUCUUAAGCGGCUCGCAGGGUCCCGAGCCCCUCAGCUCCCCGGGCCUCGGUGGCCCAGGGCCCAGCUCAGCCGACUGGGCAGUCGAUGUAGGUCCUGAGAAGAGCGGCGGCGGCGGCGGCGGCGGCGGCGAAGGAAAAGCGACACUGAAGCGAAGGCUCGCGGUUUCGGCCUAAAGGAAAGUGCAGGGGAGGCCCGGGUCUCGGGUGACACCCCCACGCCUUGAGCGGGACUGUGGUUGCGAGGGAGGGACGAGAAAACACGCCUACGCCCUGCGUGCGCUGUGCUGACUACCUCUCCAGCAUGGAGGCUUCCAGAUGAGCAGACACCCGAAUCCCAGCGGGAGCCCGUCAAAAAUGGAGAUUUCUGCCGUCACUCUGGGACUCUUAAUUCGGUCCGUCUGGGGUGGGGCCCAGGAAUCUGCAUUUCUGAUAAGGUCACCCGCUCCCCUCCCCCAUUAUUCCAGUGCAAAGAGGUCCUAGGCCCAGUGCCCAUCAGCUCCUCAAGACAGGAAUUACUAUAUCUUUUUCUGACAACUGUUAACUUUGUACAAGGUUAGCAAAUAAAUCCAGGAAUGAAUGGAAUCUUAAAACUCGUAAAACAACAAUGAAAGGUAAUUCACACAAAAGAUACAAAAUCCAAAAUUGUCAAAAAAGAUACAGGGAAAAGUAAACAUCCAUGUUAUUCCUAUAGUCCAGCCUUGCAAUUCUCUCCACAAGCCAUUAGUGGUAAUGGUUUCUUGGAAAUAUUUUCAGAUUUAUUUUAUGCCCAUAUCAGCAUUUUUAACAUCUUUUGUCAUAAAUAUGUCGUAAAUAACAAUGUUAUUGAUACAUAUCCUUUUAAAAACACAAUGGUAGUAUGCUAUACUGGCUUGUUUUACUUAUGAAUAUAUGUAGAGCUGCCUCGUUCCAUUGUACGUAUGUAUGGUAAUGAUUUAACAGUCCCUAAUAGCUGGACAUUUAGAUUGCCAGUAUUUUCCUAUUACAAACAAUGCAUCAGUGAACAUCCUUGUUCUUUUAUUAUUGUACACAAGUACAGGUACAUCUAUCUGUAGGAUAGAUUCCUAGAAAGUUGAAUUGCUGGUUCAAAGGUUUGUGCGUUCUUAAUCUGUACAUUUUUUAAUAUAUAUUGGCAAAUUGCCCCAUAGAGAUUGUAUCCAUUUUUCUCUCCUUAGCAAUGUGUGAGAGUGCCUGUUUCCCCACAACUCACAAAAGGUGGUUUCUAGCUGUGAUUUUAAUUCGUCUCUUAUAUUGAUUUUUUAAAAUUUGUAUUUAUAUUAUUAUUAUUAUUAUUUGAGACAGGGUCUUGUUCUGUUGCCCAGACUGGAGUGCAGUGGCACUAUCACAGCUCAUUGCACCCUCAACGUCCUGGGCUCAAGCAGUGCUUCCACCUCAGCCUCCCAAAUAGUUGGAAGUACAGGCACAUGCCAACACACCCGGCUAAUUUUAAAAUUUUUUGUAGAGAUGGGGGUCACUCUAUGUUGUCUAGGCUGGUCUUGAACUCCUGGACUCAAGAAAUCCUCCCAUCUUGGCCUCCCUAAGUGCUGGGAUGACAGACAGGAGCUACUACGCCUGGACUGUGUCUUUUAUUAUGAAUCAAGAUGAGUACCUUUCCAUACAGAGAAUAAUUUGUAAUUUUUUUCCUGUGAUUUAUCUGUUCUUGAGUUGUGUUCAUUUUUCUGUGGUAUGAUGGAAAACAGCCCUUUGUGAUAUAUGUUACACUUAUUCUUUUUCAGUCUUUUUGUCGUUUGACUUUGUUUAUGGUAUUUUGUUUUGUUUUUCUGUCUUACAGAAAUUCAUGAUUCAUGUAUUUGGAUUUAUCAGUCUUUUAUGGCUUCUAGGUUUGGGGCCAUAAUACACUCAGAUUAUUAAGUUAUUUCUUUAAUGGCUUUAUUUUUAUGGUUUUGUUUAUCUUUGCUUCAUCUGGAAUGUGUUUUUGUAUAAGGAGUGAAGUGGAAGUUUUGUCCCAAAAUCACUUUUAAUGAACACUCCUUCUUUUCUACACGAUGUCAUUUGAAAUGCCACAUUUAUAAUUUUUUUUUUUGAGACAGAGUCUUGCUCUGUUGCCCAGGCUGGAGUGCAGCGGCACAAAUCUCAGUUCACUGCAACCUCCACCUCCCAGGUUCAAGCAAUUCUCUUGCCUCAGCCUCCUGAGUAGCUGGGAUUACAGGUGCAUGCCACUACGCCCGGCUAAUUUUUGUAUUUUUAGUAGAGACGGGGUUUCGCUAUGUUGGCCAGGCUGGUCUGGAACUCCUGAGCUCAGGCGAUCCAUCUGCCUCUGCCUCCUAAAGUGCUGGGAUUACAGGCAAGAGCCACCACAUCCGGCCCACAUUUAUAAUUUUCUAAAUUCCCACAUGCAUAUGGGUUUCUGGAUUCUCUGCUGCAUAUGGGUUUCUGGAUUCUCUGCUCUAUUCCACUGACUUUUCUGUUAAUUUUGAUUCACCAGAACUGUGCUGUUUUACCAUUUAGUAGGGUCAGUCCUUGUAGGGUCCAGCCCCACAGGGUCAGUGGGUUUUCGCCCCAUGUGUGGAGACGAGAGAUUGUAGAAAUAAAGACACAAGACAAAGAGAUAAAAGACAGCUGGGCCUGCGGGACCACUACCACCAAGAUGCGGAGACCAGUAGUGGCCCGAAAUGCCAGGCUGCGCUGAUAUUUAUUGGAUACAAGACAAAGGGACAGGGUAAGGAGUGUGAGCCAUCUCCAAUGAUAGGUAAGGUCACAUGGGUCACGUGUCCACUGGACAGGGGGCCCUUCCCUGCCUGGAAGCCGAGGCAGAGAGAGAGGGAGAGAGGAGACAGCUUGUGCCAUUAUUUCUGCAUAUCAGAGACUUUUAGUACUCUCAGUAAUUUGCUACUGCUAUCUAAAAGGCAGAGUCAGGUGUACAGGAUGGAACAUGAAAGCAGACUAGGAGCGUGACCAGUGAAGCACAGCAUCACAGGGAGAUGGUUAGGCCUAGUCAGGCCCUCCACAAGAGGUAAAGGAGUAGAGUUGUCUCUAAACUCCCCUGGGGAAAGGGAGACUCCCUUUCCCAGUCUGCUAAGUAGCAGGUGUUUUUCCUGGACAGCGACGCUACCGCUAGACCAUGGUCUGCUUGGCAACGGGCGUCUUCCGAGACGCUGGUGUUACCGCUAGACCAAGGAGCCCUCUGGUGGCCCUGUCUGGGCAUAACAGAAGGCUUGCACUCUUGUCUUCUGGUCACUUCUCACUAUGUCCCCUCAGCUCCUAUCUCUGUAUGGCCUGGUUUUUCCUAGGUUAUGAUUAUAGAGUAAGGAUUAUUAUAAUAUUGGAAUAAAGACUAAUUGCUACAAACUAAUGAUUAAUGAUAUUCAUAUAUAAUAUCUAUGAUCUAUAGUAUAACUAUUCUUAUUUUAUAUAUUUUAUUAUACUGGAACAGCUCAUGCCCUCGGUCUCUUGCCUCAGCACCUAGGUGGCUUGCCACCCACAAGUCCUCUCUUGUUACUCUUUUGUUUUUUUAAACAUUUUUCUACUCAUUCUUGAAUUAUUAUUUUUCCUCAGUGAAUAAUAAUAGCACUUAUUUGGCAUUUGUUAUAUGACAGGUACUAUUCUCAGUGCUCUAUGUAUCUUCAUUUAAUCCUCCUGACAGCCCUACCAGGCAGAUACUAUUAUCCCCUUUCAUGGAAGAGGCAUCUGAGACAGAGAGGUUAAGUAACUUGUGCAAGGAUACACAGCUAAUAAGCAACAAGCCUGGAUGAGAACCCAGAAAGGCUGGGUCUAUGGGUAAAACCACAAUUCCUUAUCAUCUUUUCACAUGAGCUUUAGCUACAGCUAGUCUGGCUCUAAUUUUAGGAGGU